UACAGAGGGUGCGAGCGUUAAUCGGAAUGACUGGGUGUAAAGGGUGCGUAGGUGGUUUAUUAAGUUUCAAGGCAAAUGUUAAAUAUAAAGUUUAAAAGCCUUUUAAUACUAAUAGACUAGAGUUUAUUGGGAGAUAGCUGUACAUUAAGUGUAAAGGUGAAAUUUUUUCGAUAUUUAAAAGGACAUUCGAUAGGCGAAGGCUGCUAUCUACUUUAAUACUGACACUGAGGCACAAAAGCAUGGGGAUCAAACAGG
rnacentral:rRNA from 1 species